UGGGGAAUUUUGGACAAUGGGCGCAAGCCUGAUCCAGCCAUGCCGCGUGAGUGAAGAAGGCCUUCGGGUUGUAAAGCUCUUUCGGCGGGGACGAAACGGUCCGUACUAACACUACGGAUCACUGACGGUACCCGCCGAAGAAGCACCGGCUAACUACGUUCCAGCAGCCGCGGUAAUACGUAGGGUGCAGGCGUUAAUCGGAAUUACUGGGCGUAAAGCGUGCGCAGGCGGUCUCUUAAGACAGGUGUGAAAUCCCCGGGCUUAACCUGGGAACUGCGCUUGUAACUGAGAGGCUUGAGUGUGCCAGAGGGGGGUGGAAUUCCACGUGUAGCAGUGAAAUGCGUAGAGAUGUGGAGGAACACCGAUGGCGAAGGCAGCCCCCUGGGGUAACACUGACGCUCAUGCACGAAAGCGUGGGGAGCAAAC
rnacentral:rRNA from 1 species